GACGAACGCUGGCGGCGUGCCUAAUACAUGCAAGUCGAGCGGAGUCAUGUUGGAAGCUUGCUUCCAACAUGACUUAGCGGCGGACGGGUGAGUAACACGUAGGCAACCUGCCCCUAAGACUGGGAUAACUACCGGAAACGGUAGCUAAUACCGGGUAAUCUCUUCCCUCUCCUGAGGGAAGAAUGAAAGGCGGAGCAAUCUGCCGCUUGGGGAUGGGCCUGCGGCGAAUUAGCUAGUUGGCGGGGUAACGGCCAACCAAGGCGACGAUGCGUAGCCGACCUGAGAGGGUGAACGGCCACACUGGGACUGAGACACGGCCCAGACUCCUACGGGAGGCAGCAGUAGGGAAUCUUCCGCAAUGGGCGCAAGCCUGACGGAGCAACGCCGCGUGAGUGAUGAAGGUUUUCGGAUCGUGAAGCUCUGUUGCCAGGGAAGAACGUCCGGUAGAGUAACUGCUGCCGGAGUGACGGUACCUGAGAAGAAAGCCCCGGCUAACUACGUGCCAGCCGCCGCGGUAA
rnacentral:rRNA from 1 species